GCUGUGUUUCAGUGGUAGUACGUCUGAUUUACAAGCAGAAAGUCCCAGGUUCAAAUCCUAGGCACCUGCA